rnacentral:rRNA from 1 species
AGGUCUCAGUUCAGAUUGCAGGCUGCAACCCGCCUGCAUGAAGUCGGAAUUGCUAGUAAUCGCGGAUCAGCAUGCCGCGGUGAAUACGUUCCCGGGCCUUGUACACACCGCCCGUCACACCAUGAGAGUCGGGAACACCCGAAGUCCGUAGUCUAACCGCAAGGGGGACGCGGCCGAAGGUGGGUUCGAUAAUUGGGGUGAAGUCGUAACAAGGUACC